rnacentral:lncRNA from 1 species
CACCUAGGCACUACCCUAGGCUGCCUACGUACCCUUACUGAUGGAUCAAGACACACAUAGUUCUUUCCACUAAAUUUCAAUUUCAACCACAUACAAUACCUUUAUUCAUUUUCCUGUUAUUCACAUAAUCUCCCCAUACGCCGGAAAAUCCAACUCCACGUAUGGGGCUUGUCUCACACGUUGGAAGAAUCCCACGACAUGUGUGAGACCUAACAAUCAC